UACGGGGGGAGCAAGCGUUGUUCGGAUUUACUGGGCGUAAAGGGCGCGUAGGCGGCGCAACAAGUCACUUGUGAAAUCUCCGGGCUUAACCCGGAGCGGUCAAGUGAUACUGUCGUGCUAGAGUGCGGAAGGGGCUACUGGAAUUCUCGGUGUAGCGGUGAAAUGCGUAGAUAUCGAGGAGGAACACCUGUGGCGAAGGCGGCCCUCUGGACGGAUACUGACGCUGAGGAGCGAAAGCGUGGGGAGCGAACAGG
rnacentral:rRNA from 1 species